rnacentral:lncRNA from 10 species
GGUAGCUUGUGGGGUAUGUUUGAUAUUAACAACAAAAUCUCUCAAAGUAGAUAGUUACAUUUACUAUAGAAUACUUCUAACAAUUGUUAUGAGAACAUAUAGUGUAAUAUUUAAGCACCUAAGCUCUGAACUUGGACACCUUGGGUUCAAAUCCUAUUCAACAACUCUCUUCUCUGUGUGACUCUGGACAAGGCAUCUAAUAUCUCUGUGCCUUGGUUUCCUUUUUGGAAAAUGAAGAAAAAAUAGUACUGUACCUAUUGGAGGAAUAGAUUCAAUAAUCUGUGUAAAACACUUAGCACAAUUCCUUGUAGAGUAAGCUGAUGUGAUAAUAUUAAUGAAAACAGGGUUGGGCUCAGUGGUUUUAUGACAAGCAGCCAUGGAAGAGUUAACACAUUGCAAGGAGAGUCAGUUCCUGUGCCCUUGUUACUGUU